rnacentral:rRNA from 1 species
AACAGGAUUAGAUACCCUGGUAGUCCACGCCGUAAACGAUGUCGACUUGGAGGUUGUUCCCUUGAGGAGUGGCUUCCGGAGCUAACGCGUUAAGUCGACCGCCUGGGGAGUACGGCCGCAAGGUUAAAACUCAAAUGAAUUGACGGGGGCCCGCACAAGCGGUGGAGCAUGUGGUUUAACUCGAUGCAACGCGAAGAACCUUACCUACUCUUGACAUCCAGCGAACUUUCCAGAGAUGGAUUGGUGCCUUCGGGAACGCUGAGACAGGUGCUGCAUGGCUGUCGUCAGCUCGUGUUGUGAAAUGUUGGGUUAAGUCCCGCAACGAGCGCAACCCUUAUCCUUUGUUGCCAGCGAUUCGGUCGGGAACUCAAAGGAGACUGCCGGUGAUAAACCGGAGGAAGGUGGGGAUGACGUCAAGUCAUCAUGGCCCUUACGAGUAGGGCUACACACGUGCUACAAUGGCGCAUACAAAGAGAAGCGACCUCGCGAGAGCAAGCGGACCUCACAAAGUGCGUCGUAGUCCGGAUCGGAGUCUGCAACUCGACUCCGUGAAGUCGGAAUCGCUAGUAAUCGUGGAUCAGAAUGCCACGGUGAAUACGUUCCCGGGCCUUGUACACACCGCCCGUCACACCAUGGGAGUGGGUUGCAAAAGAAGUAGGUAGCUUAACCUUCGGGAGGGCGCUUACCACUUUGUGAUUCAUGACUGGGGUGAAGUCGUAACAAGGUAACC